UGGCAAGCUGUCAGUAGUAUGCGACAAGGUGGAGUUGAUCAACAAAACGAAGAUCAGCCACUGAACAGGCAUUGAAUAAGCACCAUGUAUGUAAUGAUGGAUAUUCCUGAAGCUGGUAGACAAUUCAUAUACAGUAAAUAGUUUCUCUGAAAAAACACCAAUCCCUGUGGUAUGUGUAAAUCUGCACAACAACAAGCUCCAUUGGUCUGGUGAGUAAAGAUUUCCAGUUUUCUUGAAAUGCAAUAAAUAUAAAUAUUUAUUAGUACUUUCCAAUUAGAAUAAUUGACUGAUUGUGCCUGUCAGUCAAAUGACCUGAAUUUGGUAUACCCUUUGUUUACGUUUGUCUAGUUGAAUCGGCCUAUUAUAUAUUAAAAAUAUGCCUUAUUUUUUGAAGGUAAACAGUUUCUCUGAAAAAAUACCAAUCCCUGUGGUAUGUGUAAGUCUGCAUAACAACAAGCUCCAUUGGUCUGGUGAAUAUACAAAGAUUUCCAGUUUUCUGUUAUGCAAGACCCUGGUUUAAUUUAUUAUUAACAACUCAGGAAUUGGGGUAAAGGAGAAUGGAACAGCAUGAUAGGCCUAUAUACAAAAAAUUGCUGUCAAAUUCAGCCAAUCAAAUCAUUCACAGUAUGUUGUUGCUACAUACCCACACGCACACUGCGCAACUCCAAAUCACACUUUAUAAAAUAAUUAUAAUUGAAAUAAGAUAAAUAUUAAUAUUUAUUAGUACUUUCCAAUUAGAAUAAUUAACUGAUUAUGCCCCCUUUUUUUACAUUUGUCUAGUUGAAUAUGCCUUAUUUUUUACAGGUAAAUUGUUUCUCUGAAAAAACACCAAUCCCUGUGGUAUGUGUAAGUCUGCAUAACAACAAGCUCCAUUGGUCUGGUGAGUAAAUAUUUCCAGUUUUCUUGAAAUACAAUAAAUAUAAAUAUUUAUUAGUACUUUCCAAUUAGAAUAAUUGACUGAUUGUGCCUGUCAGUCAAAUGACCUCAAUUUGGUAUACCCUUUGUUUACAUUUGUCUAGUUAAAUUGGCCAAUAUUGAAAAUAUGCCUUAUUUUUUAAAGGUAAACAGUUUCUAUGAAAAAACACCAAUUCCUGUGGUAUGUGUAAGUCUGCAUAACAACAAGCUCCAUUGGUCUGGUGAUUUCCAGUUUUCUUAUUUAUUACAACUUAAGACCAAAUACUGACACCAAAUGUAGGUCAAAAACACAUCAGCCCAAAGUGUGCUACAUCAGUCACCACACCAAACUCCAACACCUGAAAUGAAAAUACAUCAACUAUUUCAACAGAUUAUUUCACUGCAUUUGAAAAUUAUGCCAAAAGGAGAGAUUGGGAAGAAUGCACAUGGGUUAGGAGAAUUUGUCAAUGCAUAUAGGUAAAGGCAAAGGAUGCAAUGAAUAGCAUCACUGAGUCCAAUUACGAUUAAAACACCCUCAAAAACACUAUUUUGGAAAUUUUUCAAUUAAUGCCUGAAAAUUACAGGCAAAUUUUUAGAACCAUGAAGAAAAUGGAAAAUGAAACUAUUAAAUCACCAAAAUUGGCCAUACGUUUGUUUGUUGGGUCAAAUACGCAGGUGUUAAACUGACAAUCCACAAGGCAUAGCCCAAUUAAUGAUAAGAGAGCAAACUUGAAAAUGUGCCAACAGACAUGAGACAACACCUACCACAAAGAAAAAUCUUAAAGGAAAAGACCACCCUAAAUUCCCUAGUCAACCAUUGGAAAGUUGUCCAACAAACUUACUAUUUAGUGUACUUCAAAUUUGUAGUAGAUUUGUGAGUUUCCAGUAAACAGCAUUUUAACGUUUUUUCUAAGAAGAUUGAAAAUCACCAUCUUGACCUAUAGACCGCUUCAUUGUGACGUAAGAUACGGAAGAUGAAGAUUUCAAGAUUCGCGGUGGUGUUCGGCGCUUCUAUUGGCUAAGCAAAUCUGCUGCACGGAUUGGCUAAUAACCUGACCUGCGGUCAUAUCAGAAUGUACACAAAGUAUAAUGAGCAUGCGCGCUAGCUAGCUUGGCGCCUCAUCUCGAUCGAUCUUGUUAUUGUUGAACCGAAUAAAUUGCAGUACUAUUCUAUUUCUAUUCAUCGUUUGUAUAAUUACUCUUUUGUUGAUAAAAUUUAUAAUUAGUACAUUGUGUUCGCUACACAGUUACA